GACGAACGCUGGCGGCGUGCCUAAUACAUGCAAGUCGAGCGAAGCGGCGGAUGGGUGAGUAACGCGUGGGUAACCUGCCCUUAAGUCUGGGAUACCAUUUGGAAACAGAUGCUAAUACCGGACACUAAAGGAGGGACCUGGGAUGCAUUAGCUAGUUGGUAAGGUAACGGCUUACCAAGGCGAUGAUGCAUAGCGGGGUUGAGAGACUGAUCGGCCACAUUGGGACUGAGACACGGCCCAAACUCCUACGGGAGGCAGCAGUAGGGAAUCUUCCACAAUGGACGCAAGUCUGAUAGAGCAACGCCGCGUGAGUGAAGAAGGUUUUCGGGUCGUAAAGUUCUGUUGUUGGUGAGGCGGUACUCGCACAGAAAGCAACGGCUAACUACGUGCCAGCAGCCGCGGUAAUUC
rnacentral:rRNA from 1 species